UGUUACAGACAGCACUGAUUGAGGCUCUAAUCUCACUUCACAGGCGCUGCGCUCCUAAAAUCACAGAUUCUGUGGCAUCUCGUGCUGCUCUUCCUGCAGUGUGCGGCCUUAGUUUGGAAAGGGCAAACUCACAUUCGGAUGAAGACAGAAGCUGGUUUCUUCAGCUCGACACGUUGAGCAGGUGGGUCACGUUUGCAGCACCAGGUGAAAGAUUGACGUUGAUGCUCUUAUAACUCAGGUUCCUGUGAAGCGUAGAGAUGAGGCAAAUCCGUGCCGGGAUUAUCUUCCACUUUCUCACCUCGCACAGGUGUGGAGAGCUGAUAUGGCCCAAAAACCCACAUGCUCCCGAUGCACCAUGGGAAGAAGCGGGACAGCUGUGAGAGGGAAGCCACAGAGCUCUUCUGAAAGAUCAAGGUUUGGCAAACUGCCUGACGUCUGGCCGAUAUGUGCUAGGACUGACCAUCAUCACUG